UACGUAGGGGGCAAGCGUUGUCCGGAAUUAUUGGGCGUAAAGGGCGCGUAGGCGGCCAUGCGUGUCUUCCGUGAAAUCCCUCGGCUUAACUGAGGACGUGCGGAAGAAACUGCAAGGCUCGAGUCCGGGAGAGGGGGGUGGAAUUCCCAGUGUAGCGGUGAAAUGCGUAGAUAUUGGGAGGAACACCGGUGGCGAAGGCGGCCCCCUGGACCGGAACUGACGCUGAGGCGCGAAAGCGUGGGUAGCAAACGGG
rnacentral:rRNA from 1 species